ensembl:lncRNA
UGUGUGUGUGUGUGUGUGUGUGUCAGUGAGUAUCUCUUCCUGUGAGUAUUUUUAGAUUGUCAAAAGGAUGUGUUUAUAUAUAAGUGUAGGCACAGGUGUGUGUGUAUUUCUGGAAUGUGGUGAGGAAUAAGUUCAUGUGAGGAUACUUGUGUGUUUGUUAAUAGGCCUAACAAAAAAGUGAUCUGCCUAUAAUGCUUUUAAAUGUGAAUAAUUCAUAUUUGUGCUGUGUUGUCUACAUAAUAAUUAAGGAAAUGAGGAUUCAGUCUGUUUGUAAUGAUGAACAUGUUUCUGACUGCUCUGCUCUUCUUUAACAGGGAGUCUCAUCUCUGAAGAACUGCAUUCUGGGUAUGAAGAUGCUGAUGAGUUUCUCUCAGCAAAAGAGUUCAAGACUGCAUCAGAAGAGAUGGUGAAGGAAAUCACACCGGGAUACUAUGAUGAUGUCAUCACUGAUGGACUGAAACCAGAUCGUGAGACAGUUGACACAGCAGAGAAUUAUGAUGAUGUCAUCAUUAAUAGACCGAGCUCUCAAGGGGUAACAGAGAGAGUUCAGGAGGAGUAUGAUGAUGUCAUGAGUGUCAGUGAAGAUGUGAGAAACCUGUUGGAUUAUGAUGAUGUGGAGGAGGAGUCAAACAAAGAAGGGGGGUAUUUGGCUCAAUGAUCUCAUCCACUGCUUGGGUUCAACACAUCUGAACAAAGUUUGAGUUAUUGAUAUAUCAAUAUUGUUAUUGAUGUCAAAUUUCAGGUUUUUAUAUUUUUCCCCAUUUUUUUUUUUUUUUUUUUAAAUUUAUUUUUCCUUUUUGGGUUUUUGUUGGUUUAUUUUUUUUUUUUGUCCUUUUUAACAGCAAUAAAAAAAAUCAAACAAAUUUUUGUAUGUCA